GUGAGAGAGAGAAUCCCAAGCAGCCAGUCCCCAAUCCACAGUGCAGAGCCCAACACGAGGGUCGAAUCCAUGAACCGUGAGAUCAUGACCUGAGCUGAAGUCAAGAGUCAGCUGCUUAACUGACAGCCACCCAGACACCCCUCCUUCAGUCCCCAUCUUAUUUAACCCUUUCCUGACGUUCUCCCUUCUUUACCCUCCCCACACACACCCAGAACCCACUCCCUCCCUGCACGUAUUAUGUAGCACCAAGACGUCCAUUGCUCAGGCUCUGCUGUCUGUGAGUCUGGCCUUGCCUUUCCUGAUGAAAAACAAAAGAAGGGGAGUGAGAGAGAAGGAAGGAGUAUGGCGUUGUGGUUAAAUCCAUUGCUCUGAUGUCCAGCAAAAUUCAGACUCAGCCACUUACCAAAUGAGGGACUACGGUUACCUGCUACUCACUGGAGUUCAGAGAGAGGCAAUGGUGUGAAGCUGGUCGCGGCCAUCCAGACAGGUGUUCGCCAGCAUCAGCAUCACCUGGAUGCUUGUUACACCUGGGCUCCACCCCAGACCUAUGGAACCAGAAUCUCCAGGAAUCUGUAGCUUAACAACUUUCCAGGUGACUUUUAUGAACCCAGGUUUGAGAAGCAUGACUCCAUGAUCCCAGAUAGGCCUGAAGUCAUCCAUAGUGUAGGCAGUGAUAAGAUUGAUGAGAACACCCCAUCAUGUGCCUGAAAGGGUUUUGCAACACAUCAAACAACAUGAGCAUGGAAGAGAUUGUGAUUCUUAUCGCCACAUUUGUAAUAGGGUUUUUUAAAGGGAAAACAGCCAAGUCCUUGGCUUUCCUUCCCCUGCUCUUGGCAAAACCUCCUACUGCUCUAGGAGGAUUGCAAGAACAUUGACCCAGAAUUCCCUGCAUGUUUCCUGGGAAAAGCAAGCUAACUCUGACAGCUAAAACUGCUACACGGUGUAUCAUAAGAUCCCUGCUGCUCAGGCCCGACAGCUAUUCCCUCUGGUUUCUGGCCUGCACAGCUGGCCCACAACGGUGGGGCUUUCUGUGCCUUGGGAGCUUUCUGCUGAUGGAGGAUAGCUUCCAGGUAGCCCCAGGAUUUGAAUCAAGACCAGUAAGUGGGUAAAAGCUACAAAGAGUCGGGUUUCAUGCCCAAGUAAGGAAGAACUUUGCAGGGAUCAGAGCUGCCCCAAAGUGGCCUAAGCUUCCCUAGCAGGUGGCAAGUGAGAUCCCUGACCGAGGAGAUGGUCACUCACAGGCCAAUGACCCUUUGGUGGGGCUGUUUUAUCCUUUUUCUUCUUACCGAGGUCUAGGAGCAGUGUGCUCUGCCUGAUACCUGAGAAGCCUUCUCCAAAACAUCCCUAAAUCCCUUCUUUCAUUCAGCUGGUAUUUGCUCAUCACCUACCACAAGUCAGGCGCUGGCCUACACACUCAGGAUGAAGGGCCUUGCUCUCGGUUUAGACUAGGUGAACAAGGCAGGCCUCUUUGCACAAGUGAUGUUGUAGGCUGAGAUCUAGAUCACAAGCAAGAGCCAGAAGUGGGGAAAUUAUGUGGAUGAGCACAUCGGGCCAAGGGAACAACUGGUGUAAAGCAGGUCCUGAUGCAGGAGUCCUGGAGCACAGUCAGUAGGGGCAAACCCCAAGAGAAGGCAGGGAGACCAGAUCCUGUAUGGAAGGCCUUAUUAGCCAGCGUAUGGGGUUUGGAGGAGUUUUUCUUUUGUUUUUUCUUUCUCUACUGCAGCACUUAAACAGCCCUGCUGACUGCCAGCAUCAUUGAAAUUUCGUCGUUGAGCACCUACUUCCUGCUACAAACCUCAGGAAACCAAGGUCCUGUCCUCCCCCAACCAGCUGCUACUUCCUCUAAACACCGAGGAGCCUGGCCUUUGCUUUCAGCAUCUUUCUUCACUAAGUAUCAUUGAAAAACUUGGAUCUGACAGCCAACUGCUUACUUUCUGAUCCACCAGCUGGUUACAGAACCAACAUCCUUUUUCUUCUUUUAUCUGUCUUUUCCAUGUGAUGAAACACAGGUGCAGAGUGGAUACAGGUCCAAAUACAACCAGGAAAGAACAAACUCAAUCUCUCCAGGGGAGGGUGGUGGGUCAGGGGGGCGCCAAUGUAGCACAGUGGUUAAGGCACAGGGUCUGAGCCCAAAUACAGGUUCCUUCUCACUUGCCAGCUAUGUGACCUUAGGCAGGCCAUCUCUCAGAGCCUCAGUUUUGCCAUAUGUAAAAUAAAGAUAAUGAUAGUCCCUACUUCACGGGCCGGUGAGUACGGACUGAUAUUUUACAAGUAAAGAAUUAAGAGCAGAGGCUGAUUCUUAGUGAGUGCUUAAGAACCAUAAGGCCUUAUUUGGCCCAGUCAUUGGCUUUUUGUGAAUGUUAGCAUUUGUUCCACACCAAACGCAUAUUUGUUGAAUAUCUACUAUGGGCCAGGCAUUGUGCUAGGCAUGGUUUCACAGAAACAGCUUUGGUCUAGAAGUCAUACAACCUGACUCUUUUGCAAGGAGUCAGGUGACCAAGGAUCAGCCUCGUCAUCUCUGAAGUCCUCAGGUCUCUUGCCCCGAAAGGAGUGCACUGGGAUCACAUGACUUCUGAGGCUCUUCUGGUCCUGGCUUGACAGAGUGACUGUCCUCAGGAGGAUGCAGCCUUCAAUCCUGCCCAGAUGGGGCUGACCCCCCAGUCACUCACAUCCACUGGUCCCUGUGUGUGAGCACAUGCCCUGGAGAGAAGCAGGCCUGAUCACUGUCUUGUGUUCGCCAUAAAAUAUUGAUUAGGGAAUUUAAAAUUUCGAAAUGAUUUAGGAGCCCCGAGACGGGGACGUAAUGUGCUGUGCCCAGCUGCGUUAUGAGCCAUCUAUCUCCUGUCAGCAAGCAGCACGAUACUGACAGAAUCAAUACAAACGUGUCUGAAGAAAAGCUUAACUCAUUUCCUUUCUCCAGGGGCAGUGGUUGGAAUGGGUCAGCCUUGGGAGAUCAGCACUGAAGCUGGAGCCUAGACACCCAUCUGCCAGGUGCAGGGAAGGCAAGACUGUUCGGGUACUGGCUAUUUUCACUUUCUCCAUUGGCUGCUACAUGUAUCUCUGCUAAUACAUCAGGAAAAUUAAUAAAUCUAGAACUUACAUUCUCUCCUUUCCUUUUCUAAGGUUUUAAAUAGGAUCUCUGGGCUGUGUCCUGAAGGGAAAAUAAUAAUAAUAGCUACCAAGAAUCUUUAUUUAGCAUCAAGAAUCUUCUAAGAAUCAUCUUACUUCUCAGAGCCUCAGUUUCCCUAUUUGUGAAAGGAAGAGAAUGAUCACACCGUCUCACGGGGUUGAUGCCAGAUUAAAGCAGAGGCGCUGUGAUUGUACUUAAUGCCACUGACUUCUAUAUUCAAAAGUGGUUAGGGCACCUGGGUGGCUCAGUCAGUUAGGCAUCUGACUCGGUUUCUGCUCAGGUCAUGAUCUCAUCAUUCGUUAGAUCAAGCCCCGUGUUGGGCUCUGCACUGGUA